GAUGAACGCUGGCGGCGUGCCUAAUACAUGCAAGUCGAGCGAACGGACGAGAAGCUUGCUUUUCUGAUGUUAGCGGCGGACGGGUGAGUAACACGUGGAUAACCUACCUAUAAGACUGGGAUAACUUCGGGAAACCGGAGCUAAUACCGGAUAAUAUUUUGAACCGCAUGGUUCAUAAGUGAAAGACGGUCUUGCUGUCACUUAUAGAUGGAUCCGCGCUGCAUUAGCUAGUUGGUAAGGUAACGGCUUACCAAGGCAACGAUGCAUAGCCGACCUGAGAGGGUGAUCGGCCACACUGGAACUGAGACACGGUCCAGACUCCUACGGGAGGCAGCAGUAGGGAAUCUUCCGCAAUGGGCGAAAGCCUGACGGAGCAACGCCGCGUGAGUGAUGAAGGUCUUCGGAUCGUAAAACUCUGUUAUUAGGGAAGAACAUAUGUGUAAGUAACUGUGCACAUCAUGACGGUACCUAAUCAGAAAGCCACGGCUAACUACGUG
rnacentral:rRNA from 1 species